AUGCCACCGGAUAGAGACAUUGAGUUCUUAAUUGAACUACUGCCAGGCACGGGGCCGAUAUCCAAGAGACCGUAUAGGAUGCCAGCCCAAGAUUUGGAGGAAAUUAAGAAGCAGAUUAAGGAGCUAUUGGAGAAAGGUUUUAUUCGCCCAAGUUCUUCGCCUUGGGGAUCGCCAGUACUUCUGGUGGAGAAGAAGGAUGGAUCGUUAAGAAUGGUUGUUGAUUAUCGCGGAUUGAAUGAAGUAAUAAUCAAGAACAAGUACCCACUACCAAUGAUCAAUGAUCUGUUUGAUCGGUUGCAAGGAGCUAAGGUGUUUUCCAAGAUCGAUUUGCGAUCAGGGUACCAUCAGUUGAAGAUUCAGGAGCAAGAUAUACCGAAGACGGCUUUUACCACCAGGUAUGGGCUGUAUGAGUAUACCGUUAUGUCAUUUGGUUUGACUAACGCCCCAGCCUAUUUUAUGAACAUGAUGGACAAGGUGUUUAUGGAGUUUUUGGAUAAGUUCGUCGUGGUGUUCAUUGAUGAUAUUUUGGUUUACUCGAAGAAUGAAGAGGAACAUAAGGAACACUUGCGUAUGGUACUCGAGAAUCUCAGAGAACAUCAGCUAUACGCCAAGUUUAGCAAGUGUGAGUUUUGGCUGGAGGAAGUUGGAUUUCUCGGACAUGUUAUAUCUGGAGAAGGUAUCGCAGUAGACCCCACUAAAGUUGUCACUGUGACAAACUAG
rnacentral:rRNA from 1 species